GGAAAAUGAGUUUCAUCCUGCGUUUGUAGUUUCAUAUCACUCAAGACCAAAAUCUCUAGAUACACAGCAAGAAUUGUUGGAUAAAAUGAGAAUACAAGGCAUCUUUGGAAUCCUGUAGAUUUUUAUAUGAGCUGUCACAGUAAAGGCUUAUCAUCACUCAUAAACAAGAUCUCUAAAGCAACUGCAGAAAGAAGACUGGUCUCUGGAUAAAAUAAGGACGCGGGUCAUCUUUGGAAUCCUGUGGAUUUUCACCCAAACUGUCAUGGCUACUCCCGGGAAGGGCUCGCCACAGCGGAAUACCCAGGCUGCACUACUAUUUGGCACAGGUUUUACGCCAGAUGCCCUUCCUGAUGCAACCCUCCCAUUUUAUCCUUGGGACCCGCACUGUAUCCAGUGGCUGGGUUUUGGACACUGGCUGGGAAUCGAGCCCGGACCGUCCACAUGGCAGGCAAAACACCCACCACUGAGCCACCAGUGCCCUAUUUAUGAGCUCCGUGUAACUCAGUGUUACCAAAAUGUCUCUUCUCCAUGCGCAUCUCCAGCUGAAUGCUAUCCCCUCUCUUUACUCCUAACCAGUUAGGACACCUCGAGAGCUCUCCUACAUUUUAGUGGACAUAGGAGUGACUUUCUAUUUUCAGUAUGUUGAUGAAUUUCUCUUACUCCUACUCCUAAAAAAUAGGACCAAAAUUUGCCUCACCUCUCUGGGCAUUCUGAUCUAUCAGAUGUGUAAACUGUGUAUAUUGUAGAUGUCUAUGGCAUGUCUUUGUACAGUGAAACCAUGGAUUCCGAGCAUAAAUCAUUCCGGAAGUGUGCUUGUAAGACUCGCAUGGGUUAGUCUCACACACGUGGUCAUAGUGUGAAUGUUGUACGUGAUUUUUGCUAGUCUUAGUACUUAGCCUUACUUGUCUGUAACUAUUGAGUUCACUGGGUAACUGUUACUGUAUGUUGGUUUGGGAUCAGUCUGUUUACUUUACGAGUGGUG